rnacentral:rRNA from 1 species
GAUGAACGCUGGCGGCGUGCCUAAUACAUGCAAGUCGAGCGAACAGACGAGGAGCUUGCUCCUUUGACGUUAGCGGCGGACGGGUGAGUAACACGUGGAUAACCUACCUAUAAGACUGGGAUAACUUCGGGAAACCGGAGCUAAUACCGGAUAACAUGUUGAACCGCAUGGUUCAACAGUGAAAGACGGUCUUGCUGUCACUUAUAGAUGGAUCCGCGCCGCAUUAGCUAGUUGGUAAGGUAACGGCUUACCAAUGCAACGAUGCGUAGCCGACCUGAGAGGGUGAUCGGCCACACUGGAACUGAGACACGGUCCAGACUCCUACGGGAGGCAGCAGUAGGGAAUCUUCCGCAAUGGGCGAAAGCCUGACGGAGCAACGCCGCGUGAGUGAAGAAGGUCUUCGGAUCGUAAAACUCUGUUAUUAGGGAAGAACAAAUGUGUAAGUAACUAUGCACGUCUUGACGGUACCUAAUCAGAAAGCCACGGCUAACUACGUG